GAGUUUGAUCGUGGCUCAGAACGAACGCUGGCGGCAUGCCUAACACAUGCAAGUCGAACGAGACCUUCGGGUCUAGUGGCGCACGGGUGCGUAACGCGUGGGAAUCUGCCCUUGGGUUCGGGAUAACAGUUGGAAACGACUGCUAAUACCGGAUGAUGACUUCGGUCCAAAGAUUUAUCGCCCAGGGAUGAGCCCGCGUCGGAUUAGCUAGUUGGUGAGGUAAAGGCUCACCAAGGCGACGAUCCGUAGCUGGUCUGAGAGGAUGAUCAGCCACACUGGGACUGAGACACGGCCCAGACUCCUACGGGAGGCAGCAGUGGGGAAUAUUGGACAAUGGGCGAAAGCCUGAUCCAGCAAUGCCGCGUGAGUGAUGAAGGCCUUAGGGUUGUAAAGCUCUUUUACCCGGGAUGAUAAUGACAGUACCGGGAGAAUAAGCCCCGGCUAACUCCGUGCCAGCAGCCGCCGCGGUAAC
rnacentral:rRNA from 1 species